rnacentral:rRNA from 1 species
GUCUACUGCCACGCCACCCUGAACUGCCUGAUCGCAGAAGCUCAGCAGGGUCAGGCCUGGUUAGUACUUGGAUGGGAGACCACCUGGGAAUACCGGGUGCUGUAGGUG